GCAUAUGGAGUUCCCAGACCAGGGAUUAAAUCCAAGCCCAUCUGCAACCUAAACCGCAGCUGGGUCCUUAUCCCACUCCCAGUUGGGGAUCGAACCCACAUCCCAGUGUUCCCAAGGACCACAGAUCAAUCCCAUUGAGCCACAGCAGUAACUCCAUAAAACUGCUUUUAAUAAUUUCUGUUUAUCUCAUAGGAUACACCUUCCCCCUUUUUAAAGUUUUAUUAAAACUGUUUUCCAAUGAUAGCCAAGAAUGCCAAUGUAGUUAUCCUACUGCAGCAUUAUACUUCACUUAUUAUUUUUAUGUUCACUACAAGCAUUGUAUUGCGGAUUAUUUUGAUUUCUGAUUCUAAUGAUUUCUAUUAAAUUUUAGAUACAAAAAUGAUAGGAAAAUAUGGAGUUCCUGUCGUGGCCCGGUGGUUAGUGAAUCCGAGUAGGAACCAUGAGGUUGCGGGUUUGAUUCCUGGCCUUGCUCAGUGGGUUAAGGAUCUGGUGUUGCUGUGAGCUGUGGUGUAGGUGGCAGAUGCAGCUAGAAUCCUGAGCUGCUCUGGCGUAGGCUUUCGGCUGCAGCUCCGAUUGGACCCCUAGGCUGGGAAGUUCCAUAUGGCCUCAGGUGCGGCCCUAGAAAAGACAAAAAGACAAAAAAAUAGAAAUAUUGUUUUUUUAUGUGUGGUGGGAUUUUUAUGUUAUGGAUAAAGAGCUUAUAUUUUUCUUAUUUUACCAGUAACUUUUGCAUAAUUAACUUAUAUGUUAAUAUGAAUACAUUAUUAAUAUGUAUAUUGCCUGUACAAACUACAUGGCAAGCUAGUCAUAGCAAUGGAAUUUCAGAACAAAAAGAGUCAGUUGAAACAUCUCUGUAAUAAGAUUAGAUCUUUUUUUUUUUUUUUGAAAAAAGAUUAACAUCUUCCUUUUAAAAAGGCUUAGAACAACAUUUGCUCAUUAACCUGGGUAGUGAAGGCCAAGAAAGAGGAAAAGAGAGACGCUGAAUUCUGGAGAAAGUUGUUAAUAAGCAUUUACUGCUAGGGUCAGUGAAGAGGCACAGAACUAUAUUAUUUCAUUUUCUCCUGCAAAAGUUCAUUUUGUUGAGAGCAGAUCAAGUUUAUAUUAUGCUUGAAACUAGAAAAAGUUUAAUUUUUUAAGGAGAAAUUAUCUUAGUAACUAAAAAUGUAGAACAUUAAUUUUUGUUUACUUUUAAAUUUCAGAUGAGAGUUUAAAAGAAUGAGGGGAGAAGAAGCUUCUCGAAAAUACUUUUGGCUUUCUCUCUGUUCUCUUGCAAGCAAUUUAUAGUAUUCCAUGUCAUUGUAAAUAUAUGAAUUAAGGAAGAUUAAUCUGCAGCCUGCCAUUAUAACAGAGAAACGCUUAGCUUCAACACACUAGAUUCUAACAAGCAUUAGCAGAAGCCUCAGGGCAGCUGUAAACAAUGCUUAUUGACUCAUAAAAGAAAAACAAAAAUCCAGGGAAAGUUGGUUUCUGUAGCUUUAAAAAAAAUUUUUUUUGGUGUAGUUUGAAUGCUUUGGGGAUGUCUGUACUGAUAGAAUGGAAUGUUUUCAGUAUAUCUUUUUCAGGAGAAUGAAAAGCAUGACGUGGAAGCCAAAUAAAGGAAUGCUUUGUGAAACCGCCUCUGCCUUUUCACCUCAAUGAAAAGAGUCAGAACAGCACAAAAAUCCUGGGAAAUACUGUGAUUUUUUAAAUAGGAUAUUCUGUAAAUAACUGAGAGAAGGAUAUUUUUAAUCAAACAAAAGAUAUUGCCCAUCUUAAUUAUAUUUGAAGAAACCAAGAUGUGCAUUAAUUUACCCUCCACAGAUACUUAUGAAGUAUUUAUGUUAUUACUGGCUGUGCAUAUAUACAUAUGUAAACAUGAUGUACAAAUAUCAGCCAGUCCUUGUGCACAUACAUCAGGGAUGCUGUGGUGGGUAAAUCAAAUAGAGUCUCAGUUCUCUUGGAACUUACAGGAGGAGAAACAAACAAUAAUCAAGUUAACAAAUGAUAUCAUAUCAGAUACAAAGAGGUGCUACAAAGUAGAGUCCAUCAGGGAAGUGUACUAGAGGUGGUGACUUGGAAUGAGAGGGGGAGGGUCAGGACAAGCCUCUUGGAGGAAGUGGCCUUUGAGCUGAGACUUGAAGGAUGAGAGAGUUAGCAGUAAGACAUUUGAGGGGGUGAGCAUUCAAAGUAGAAGAAAUUGUGAUGGCAAAAGCUCUGAGAUGGGAAUGAUCUUGACCCGAUUCUGGGGUUACGUGAAGGUCACCAUGGUUAGAGUCCAGUGAGUGAGGGAAAGGGGGAGGAAAAAAGAUCUCAGAGGUAGGCAGGGGCCCGGGAAAGGAGUCUGGGCUUUAUUCUAAGUGUGUUAGAAGACACUGGUGGAUUUAAAACAGGGCAGUGACAUAAUAUGGCCUUUUUUUUUUAAAGAUUACAUUGUCUGCUCUGUGAACAAUGGAUAAGAGGAUGAGAGUGGAAGCAGGGAAACCAGAGAGGAUACUUUGGCAGUGGGUCCAGUGAGGGUGAUGAAGUCUUUCCAGUAUAAUGGAAACUGCAGAGAGGGAGAGAAAUAAAAGACCCAGGAUAUAUUUGGAAGCAGACUUGAUGGAUGGGUUGGGAUGUGUGUUCAAUCCCUGGCCUCACUCACUCAGUUAAGAACCCAGCGUUGCUGUGAGCUGUGGUGUAGGUCGCAGACAGGGCUUGGAUCUGGCCUUGCUAUGGCUAUGGUGUAGGUUGCAGAUGCAGCUCAAAUUUGACCCCUAAACUGGGACCUUCUAUAUGCCACAGGUGCGGCCCUAAAAAAGAAAAAAAAAAAGUCCAAUUCAAGGGAGAGAUCAUGCCAAAGAAACACAUUUGGGAACUAUCAGCAUGUGGAUGGUAUUUUAAGUCAAUGGGAUGGAUGAGAUCACCUAGGGAGUGUGUGCAGAUAGACAAGCACACUUGGCAUUCCCAUUGUGGAGCAGCGGAAACAAAUCCGACUAGGAACCAUGAGGUUAUGGGUUCAAUCCCUGGCCUUGCUCGGUGGGUCAAGGACCCGGUGUUGCCAUGAGCUGUGGUGUAGGUCGCAGACACGGCUUGGAUAUGGAAUUGCUGUGGCUGUGGUGUAGGCCGGUGGCUGCAGCUCCAAUUAGACCCCUAGCCUAGGAACCUCCACAUGCUGCGGGUAUGGCCCUAAAAAGCAAAAAAAAAAAAGAACAUUCAGGAUAGAAUUAAAAGUUUUUAGUCAUUUAGUUAUGUGGCAGAGGAAGAGAAACUAACAGUUUUACACACACACACACACGCACAGAGAUCUUCCUUAACAAUGAGGUUAUGCUCUGAUAAACUCAUCCUAAGUCAAAAAUACAUUUAAUGUACCUAACCUACCGAACAUUACAGCUUAGCUUAGACUAACCUAUCUUAUUUUUUAAAGAUUUUUAUUUUUUCCAUUAUAGUUGAUUUACAGUGUUCUGUCAAUUUCUACUGUGCAGCAAAGUGACCCAGUCAUAUACACACAUAUAUAUAUAUAUUCUUUUUCUCACAUUAUCCUCCAUCAUGUUCCUAGAUAUAGUUCUUUCUACUAUACAGCAGAAUCUCAUUGCUAGACUAACCUAUCUUAAAAUGCUCAGAACGAUUAUAUUAGGCUACAGUUGGGCAAAAUUAUCUUACACAAAACUUAUAAUGAAACUAUGAACACCUCAUGUAAUUUAUUGAGUACUGCACUAGAAGUGAAGAGCAGAACGGCUGUCAAUGUAUUGGUUGUUUACCCUCCUAAUCACGUGGUUGAUUGGGAGCUGCAUCAUACUACUCACUGACAGCCCAGGAAAGAUCAAAAUGUGAAGUACCAUUUCUACUGAAAGCAUUAUCAUGUUUGCAUUGUUAUAAUGUCAAAUCAGCAUAAGUAGAACCAUCCCAAGUCAGGGCUGUCUGUACAUAUACACACAUAGAGAAAGAUGUAUAUAACUAUAUAACUAUAGCUACAUGUGUGUGUGUAUAUAUGGCUUUUUUUUUCUGAAAUGCUUAGCUUGCAGAUAUGAUGCCCUUUCCCCAACUAAAUACUUCAGAGUAUGUAUGUACAUAUAAAUGUAUAUGUACAGUUGACCCUUGACCCUUGGGGGGUUAUAGGCAGCAUCCCUAGUGCUGACGAGGUUCCAAGUAUAACAUUACAGUCAGCCCUCCCGUACCUGAGGUUCUGCAGCCAUGAAUGAAUUCAACCAACCACAAAUCAUGCAGCACUGGAUAUGGUGUUGCCGCUAGCUGUGGUGUGGGUCGCAGAUGCAGGCUCAGAUCCCGGGUUGCUGUGACUCUGGUGUAGGCCUCUGGCUACAGCUCCGAUUAGACCCCUAGCCUGGGAGCCUCCAUAUGCCAUGGGAGCGGCUCAAGGAAAGGCAAAAAGACAAAAAAAAAAAAAAAAAAAAAAAAAAAA
rnacentral:lncRNA from 1 species